CCCUCUGUGUGUAAAUCAGAAUUCACCUAACACUCCUCUAAAUGUAGUCUAGCUCUUUGCUGUCCCUUGGAGAUUUUCUCCCAGCUCACUCUCCUGCAAGAAUAACUGUGAUACCCCAGGUGCUGCAGCCCCACUUCCAUCAACAGCCAUUUGUUUACUAGAAGAGAAGGAUGGGCUGGACCAGGACAUGGCACCAGAAGCACAUCCAGCCCUUGGACAAUGCUGCGUGCUCCCUGCUGACACAGCCAAUGAUCCAGCUCUGAGCAGAGCUCACAACUAUGCCAGAAAAAACUCAGGUUAAAACCUUGGGAACUUUCCGAGCAGAGCACCAGAACACCCAGAUGGGUUUUGCACUGAGGUAUCUAAAAGCUAAGCUCCUCUUAAGAGCUAUCUUAACAGCAGCUGCUGCCGACAGCCCUUGCCAGCCUCAGGCAAAUUGUGGAUGGCAGACUGGGGUUACCACACCCGGAGCCAUGCAGUCUGCCAGGCUUUGUGACUCCAGAGGACUUUCACCAGAAGAAGCAGAGAGCAAAGAGCCUGCCUUCCUCCAAAGAGGGUGUGCACAGGAGGAGCUGACCUCGACAGUCCCUUGGCUGGCAGUCCCUGGGCUUUUUCAGGAAGAACACAGCCCAAAGUUCAUCUUCUGCUGUUGUGGGUUUUUCCUCUCAGGGCUUUGCCGUUAGUAUUGUCUAGUAUUUCCUGCUUCCUCUCCUGGCAGCACCUCUGCUGGCUCAGACACACAGCUACAGCACUCAGUUCAUCAGCCCCUGUGUUUGCCACAUCCGUCCCCAGGGAAAUCCCUGGGCCCAAACGCAGCUGAGCUUCUAAUUGAGGUUUGCUGUGCGCCUGCCUGCUGCACUGGGCUCCCACUGUGCACACAGGAGCGCUGUGCUGGCUUUUUGUGUUUAUCCAGGAUUAUUCACACCCACCAACUUUAGGCACAAAGGUUGCAUCCCGUGCAACCUCUGUGCCUAAAGAAGUUCAGGGUGCAUUAGAAGUUCAGAGCAAACUAUGUGCUGAAACAGACAUCUCUCACUGCUCACAGGCAGCCAAGCUCUGACAGCCCCAGAGUAACUCAGUUAAGGUCGCUAGUUUGCUCAAAAUACCAUCUAAGAGUAUCACAGAGAAAUUGAUAUCCAGAUCCAGUUUUGACUUUCUCUGUAAUCCAAACAGAAAUAAAAGCAGCUCCCUGCUUUGCACAGCCCUGUCCACUCUGCUGGGUUUAGCUAUCUCUCCCAAACGGUCAACAGCUCAGUUUUUCUGCAUGGUCCCACUGUUCCGCCCUCUCCAAUUCUGCAAUAUCCCUACUUGCUGGGAAAAACUAGAGACUGCAACAUUACCAAAUGUCACAGCUGUCUGCAGGGGGAAAGUCCCUUUUUAAUUAUUAGCAUGCUGCCAGUUCAUUCCCCAUUAGGUGCUUCCACUCUGUCUGUAACCACAUAGGGGGUUGUACUGAUGGGGAGCAAUGUUAUUGCUGGAGGGAAAGUAGUAAAACAAGCUCAAGAGACCUGCCUUCUACCUCCCCAAGAUCCUUUUUUCCUACAUGAAACAAGUGUGGCAGCAAGCUUUGCUGCAUCAGGCAGUGAGCAUCAGCUUAAAGCUUUUUGAGCAACAUGCUUUAACAAAGCUUCCACAUGAAAAUCGGGAAUGACACCAGAGAAAACUUGCCUUCCAAGUGGUAGCAAAUUUCAAAUUACUUGACUUAUGUUUACCCUUAAGGCAUAACAAUAAAAGCAGUUUAAAUUGAUACAGUACAUCUCAUCCCUAAGGAUCCCCAGAAAUGCAACCAAUUGAUAAACAGCCCACAGUUCAUGCAGUGAAAUACAGACCUUCCCAGAGAUGCAAUGCAUCAGUUUAAGCCUUGCCAAAAAUAAGCUGAAGUCAAAAAAUAAAAGCAGACUAGAAGACUAGACUAAAAGCCAACCAGAACUCUAGAUCCAUUAGACUCUGGUCAGGACACUGCAGCUAAUUAUAUUUUUGUGUCUGUGGCACAUGGGUAGGACUUUAAAUGUCCUAAUUUGGACCUUGGCUUUGUGUGCCAAAAAUUACCCUGCAGACUAUUUGCUUGGAUAUCAUACCAGCUUAAAUAAGGUGCAGAAAUGCUUCCUACUGCAUCCACCAUUCUGCUCUUUGGAGUCUAUGACCAACCCAAAAUAACCUCUGAUGAAAAGAUUUGAGAAGGUAGGAAUACAGGCCACAUGGCACAUGUGACUACCUUUUGCCUUCAUCCUGGCUGACAAAAAUUGACUUUGCAUAACCUUCCUUUCUCUCUUUUGGCUGUUUUUUUUAAGCUUUCAAAUUACUUACUUAUAUUAUUAUUAGAAGGCAGGAGGGAAAUACGUUUUCCUUGUUUACCAUUGGACUAAUUGUUUGGAGCUGCCUGGUUCUUAUCUCUGUAGCAGCUGUAAAUGGGAAACGUGGAUUUUAACUGCAAAAUAUUAUCAAAAUGACAAUGUCAAGUGUCCCCUGGCUUCCCUUGCACUAGCAAAGUCCAUCGACUUUUGAAGCAACAAACCAGAGUCCUAUUCCAAGGGGUAUCUGCACGUGCACAUACAAGUACAGACACCAGGUCUACUUCACUGAUUUGUUUUGUUUUAACAUCCUGGGCCAAGAUCUUGCUGAAUGUUGUUAACUGAUAAAUUUCCUGAUACAUAUCCUGGGAGCCACAUACGGUCUUUGCGAUUAAAUGAGAGGAAACAGUUAAUGGGUAUCUGCAGCAGCAGUCACAAAAAGGAUGAAGUUGUGGGACCAACUCUGGUAAAUCAACAGCACUAGAUGGUCAUGAUUAGUGUGGCAAUCAGGAAAUUACAAUUUAAUAUGUUUGCUGGAGGAAGCAGCAAGAAUUCUUCACGUUCUUUUAAAACAGAUUAAAACCCUACAGCCCCUUCUCAGUAUUCAGACACUUGAGGCUGCUUUUCAGAGCCCUGCCAGUUGCUUUCUGCAAGGUAGAAUAAAAACAAACAUCACAUCCCUGCAGCACCACAGCCUUGCCAAUUGAGUGCUCAGGGCACCUAAAGUGGAGGGGGCUUUUGUAAAACGUAGCUCUUAGGUAUGCAGUGCAAAACCACCUCCCGUGGUUACAGUUUUUACAUUGUUAAAGUAACUUUUAGGUAGUCCUUUGGCAUUGAAGUACCUGCUGGACCAGGCAGCAGAGACUGCUAACAUAAUCCCAAAUUAGAAAUGCAGAGAAUGUUAAUCUCCUCUCAAAAUGACAAGAAAACACUUCUCUGAAAUUAACGCAGACAUAGCAGAGGUAUUAAACCAGAAUACACAAGCAGAAAAAGAAGGUUCAGGUUGGCACAGAUGCCUGCAGCGCUCAUGGAUUUUUGCUCCUUUUUCAUCAGGGUUCAUGAAAUUUUGCUUCUGUUUCAGCAGGGCCAACCCCUGUCCCUGGAUAGGUACAGCUGCUCCAUCCCCUGGGGGCCUGUCUGAGCUCCCCAGAACUGCAACACUUGGGUGAGAGGCAACACAGGAAACUAGGGUUGUGAUAGGCCCCACCCUAUAUCCAAAAAGCUGAGCUUGUUUGUUUCUCUUCUUUUUGUCUUGUGUACCAUACAGAAAAUUGCAUAGAAAAAUUGCUUGAACGUGAUGAUUUAAACAAACAAACAAACAAACAAACAAAUAAAUAAAAAGGGGAGUACUUCAACAGCACAAAGCAGCACCGAUGACCUUUACCACUCCAAGACCUUUGCUUUAUGCUGUCUUCUCUUAUGUCAUCCCUUCAGGCAAGUAUUGUACGACUGUGGAACUCCUUCGAGGAGUUACAGGGAAGACAACAGCCUUUUUUGCUUAAUUGAUAAUGAGGGCUCCACUGGCCCCUGCAUCUGCAGCUAGCUGCUGCUUUGCAUAUGGGUUUAGGGCAAAAUCCCUUCUCCAGCCGUGCUUUUAGUUGCCUAAUACCCAGGUUACUGGCCCAUGUGUUGGCCUCCCCAUGAUGUCUAGGGCCAGGCUGCAGAGCAGCAGCAUCUCCCUGAAGCAGGAAGUGGGCUGGCCUCAGCGUGACUUUCCAUCCAGAAAACAUUUUCCAUCAGCUUUCUGCCACCUACAACUGGCUGCAGUACUGCCAAGUUAAAACACACACAAAAUAAAAGCAUCUCGUGUGACUCUGAAAAGAGGCUGCUUGCAAAUGCUUGCUAAAAAUAGUCCUGUGAUGGCCUGUGAGGGCAGCUGGAGGUCUCUUAUAGAAGGAGGCAAAGAAUUCCCUUUGCUGAAGUUAGUUUACAGCCAUCACAGCUAGGACAGGAGUUUUCAAGUUUAAUGUCUGUGUAGUUCUAGCAAAAUCCCAACUGCAGAGAGCAAGGUCCUUGCUGGGCUCAAUUCCCCUCCUAGUCAGAACAGUCAGCUUUCUUUUCAACUCCCUUCUUCCUUUUUUGAAGAGAUGCGGAUAGGACGAGAUUCAUUUGUUAAUUAAAUUUCCCCUGCCAAUUUACAUUAGAAAGGGGGAACUGUUUCAAAAACCUCGUGAAACUUUCAUAACCUUUAAAAAUAAAGAGUUAUACAACUUUUUUUCUAAACCUGCCCAAAAGCACCACUGGAUUGUCCCAGGCCAAGUGAUGAAUACUGAAAAGAAGUCCUGGAAUGGCACAGCUGGGCUGAAAAUUAGAAACAUUUGCUCACAGAAAGACAGGCAUUCUUCCUCUCUUCUGCAUCUUUCAUUUUCUUUGGAUUUUCCCCUAAGUUCUAAGUUCAAAGGGAUGCCAUCCCAUGGGAAAAUGACAAAAGGAAAAAAAAGUACAGACACUGUUACUCAGUGAGGCCAGCAAUUGUUGCAAGAGAAGAAAAAUUCUUCAUGGGAAUCCCCUACAUCUGAGAAGCAGAAGCAAAAAUUCACCAGGAAAAAAUUCACUGCCAUCAGCUCUGCCGACAGACAAUGUCUUUUAUCCAUGUGGGAUCCUGCAUUUAUCCAGUUUUUAUUACCCACAGAUGGCAUACCAGCAGUUAAAAAAAAAAAAGAAAAAAAAAA
rnacentral:lncRNA from 1 species